UUCCAGACUCCUACGGGAGGCAGCAGUGGGGGAUAUUGCACAAUGGGGGAAACCCUGAUGCAGCGACGCCGCGUGGGCGAAGAAGUAUUUCGGUAUGUAAAGCCCUAUCAGCAGGGAAGAAGAAAUGACGGUACCUGAGUAAGAAGCACCGGCUAAAUACGUGCCAGCAGCCGCGGUAAUACGUAGGGGGCAAGCGUUAUCCGGAUUUACUGGGUGUAAAGGGAGCGUAGACGGUUAUGUAAGUCUGGAGUGAAAGCCCGGGGCCCAACCCCGGGACUGCUUUGGAAACUGUGUAACUGGAGUACAGGAGGGGCAGGCGGAAUUCCUGGUGUAGCGGUGAAAUGCGUAGAUAUCAGGAGGAACACCGGCGGCGAAGGCGGCCUGCUGGACUGAAACUGACGUUGAGGCUCGAAAGCGUGGAGAGCAAACAGGAUUAGAUACCCUAGUAACG
rnacentral:rRNA from 1 species